rnacentral:rRNA from 6 species
UGGGUUGCAAAAGAAGUAGGUAGCUUAACCUUCGGGAGGGCGCUUACCACUUUGUGAUUCAUGACUGGGGUGAAGUCGUAACAAGGUAACCGUAGGGGAACCUGCGGUUGGAUCACCUCCUUACCUUAAAGAA